GGCAAACGAUAAGCAAAUUAGCAACCUCUUUCAGUGCUUACUUAAAUGCCUUCAUCCUACAGAGUCUGAAACAUUUUAUGUAACCUGUGUGAAAUCUUCCCGAUUGCUUCAGAUUAUAUUCAAUCCUCCCAUCAUUGAUACCUCGUAGCAUCUUAGUCCAUUUUCUCCUGUGCUGUCAUACAAUAUUUUCCGGUGCUUAUGCCUUAUCAGUGCCAAAUUAUUUUAAAUUCCCCAAGGGCAGGCACUGAGUCCUAUUUUACCAGCUGAUUUUCUUCAUAGAUUCAACCACAGUGCUAUGAUGAGCAACAAGUAGCAUAUCACACAGGGCCUAGGAUUGAGUGAGAGACUCCUUGUGCCAGUUACAUCUCUAAACCACUGGUAAUUAGUAUUUUUUGUAAAAUGGGCAUAUAAAUUUGGAAGCAUUUUAUAAAAAAUAUAUAAGGUACCAGGAUACAUUCUUCCUUCAAGACUAUUGCUAAUGUAGUAGCAGUCACUUUCAGAUAUAGCCAGGCAAUGAUUUCACAUACAUUAUCUUAAAUAGUCACAACAAAUCUAGUAAUAGUAAUGAUACAGAUGAGGAAAGUGUUUGAAUGGGAAAAUGGAGGCUUAGAUAGUUUAACCAAGUCAUUCAUCAUCUCAUACAACUAACAAAGUACACUUGAAGGGGUGAUUUUACUCCAAAUCUGGGAAGAGGGGAGGGCUUCUAAAAAAAUAAAUAAAUCUUAACUUUGAUUAGUGAUCCCACUAAUGUAUAUUCACUAGAUAUGUUCCAGAAUGUUGAUACCCAAGAACAGACAGAGGAAUGAUAGAAAAUUGAGUAUCUUCAAAGAGUUAUAAAUGACACAAGUAAAGGUGGCAACUAGAGAACUUAUGCUUUCAUGUCAUAACUCCUCCCUACUCCCACAAAAGCAGUAAGUACUCUUAUCAUAAUGACAAAUCUGAACUGUCAGCAGCAAACACAAAUCCAGAAAUCUGAAAUGAGCAUCGAUCUAAAUUUUCAACUCAUCAUUCAUCAUUUAAAACACUGCCUAUUGUUUAGCAUGUGAUUUAUUUUAUGAUAAUCAUAUCUCAAUUCAAAUUACAUUCUGAAAUCAAGUGCCUAUACAAAUAAGGUAGUAGAUAAUUCCAAUUUUAGUCGUUAUGAGGUCUCUAUUCUUGUAGUCUUAACAGACUUACAUAUACUUGGAUGUUCAGAAAAACAGGAAAAUAAAAUCCUGCCUUUUCCAUUCAAACUUCUAAUCACUGGGACUUUCAUUUUGAAGCCAGCAGUAGAGUGGCAUAUCUAAGAGUUCUCUGCUUAGCUUCUAGAGAUCUGGGAAGCAUAGCUGAGUUUGGGAAUCCUCAUGCUUACAGUUUUGCUUUCUAGAGGUAUCAUCUGGCCCUCAGCAAUUGUCAGGCACCAUCUGCUAUACUUCCAUAGAAUAAUGUGCUUUUCUGGCUAGUAGAGAACGAGGAUAAUAUUAUUCUCUCUGUGAUUUCCACAGUGAUGUUCCAUUCUUUUUAUUCGUUGUCUUCUUGUUUCAGGUUCCAGUGUCUUUCGGACCAUCUCUAAUUUCUUUCCUGCCUUAAAUAUUCCCUAAAGCAAGAGGACACAGAGCCUGCUAUAAGCUAGGUUGGAGAAGUAGGGACAAAAAAUAGUGUCAAAGAAGUCAAAGAUUCAAAUCUCCACAAUGUUCGACUAUGUGCUACCAAGAUAAAAGUUCCCACUCCCAAGAAAAUAAAUGCCAUUAUCUGCCAAGAAAGCACAAAGUAAAUUGGUAGGCUACAGGUGAAAUGUGAACCAUAGUCAAGCCUUAUUUAAUUUUCACAGUGUUCUAAAGCAAUAGCAAACGUACUGAAAGAAUUUUUAAAAUUAGAGAUAUAGUAUCCUCAAAAUGAAAGAGUAAACUGAAUUUUUAUUUUCAUAGGCAAAACUAGUUGAGUCUGAGAAGCUCUGUCCCUUCAAAGAGGGUUACCCUUACCAGGUAGGCACAGACUCCCCUCUCCACUUUGUCUCAUUUGGUGUAUUCCUGGGCUCAUGAGCACCUAAACUAUAGCACCUUGCCCAGAUAUUAAAUAUUUAUCAAUUUAUGUCAUAUAUAUAAGCUAAAACAAGUAUUUUAGUGAAGAUGCUUCCUCAAAUCUUCUGAAAAUAAUUCUCUUUCAAUUGUUAAAGAACUCUGAAAAUAUUUUGUAUACCUUUUUUGUAUACAAAAUUAUACAAUAUUUGUCUCUCCUACUAUAAUACAACUUCUAAUAGGGUAGAAAAUUUUGUCUGCUCAUUACUACAUUCCCAGCAUCUAUAAUAAUGUAUAGCACAUAGACUUGGGUCUCAGUAAAUAACUAUGCUGAAUAUUUAUGUUGAAUGAAUUUAUGAGAUGAAUAGCAAAUUUUACAUGGACACAUAUAAUAAUAAUUGAGGUGCUUCCUUUAUGCCAGGGGCUAUUUUAAUGGCUUAUAUUUGCUCAUUAAAUCCUCACAAUAACACUGCAAGAUAAAUUAUCACCAACCCUAUUUGGCAGAAGGGGAGAUUAAGGUUUGGUUAAUUUUGUUUCCUGAGAUCAGCAGUUAAAAUGUGGAUGCAACCAUUCUGGCUUUGGAGUCUGUGCCAUUAAUCUUUGUUAUAAAGUGUUACUUAUAAUGGUGCCAUCUGAAGAUAAAGAGCCUUAGAUAACAAAGCACUUUUAUUCCAAACAGCAAAACUGCUUCAUAGGAGCAUACACCACUUCUGUGUCUGGAGACACCCUAGAGCUUAGGUGAAAAACAUGAAAGGAAGUUAAGAAGCCAAGUCCAUCUCACACCCAUUAGGAUGGCUAUUAUCAAAAGAAUAGAAAAAUGAUAUGUAUUGGCAACAACAUGGACAAAUUGGAACACUUGUGCUUUGUAUGUGGGAAUGUAAAAUAGUGCGACUGCUAUGGAAAACAGCAUACUGGUUCCACACACAAAAUAAUAAUAAUAAUAAAUAAAUAGAACUACUCUAUGAUUUAUCAAUUCCACUUCUGGACAUUUAUUCAAAAUAAUUGAAAGCAGAAUCUCAAAAUCAUAUUUCUACACUAUGUUCAUAGCAAUGUUAUUCACAAUAGCAAAAAGAGGGAAGAAACCUGUGUCCAAUGAAGAAUGGGUAAACUAAAAUGUGGUACAUACAUAGAAUGGAGUAUUAUUCAACUUCAGAAAGAAAGAAAAUUGUGACCCAUGCCCAACAUGAAUAAACAGUGAGGACAUUAUGCUAAGUGAAAUAAGUCAGGCACCAAAAAAUUAAUACUGAAUAAUUUAGAGAAGUCAAAUUCAUAAAGACAGACAGUAGUUGCCAGGGGCUGAUUGAAGGAAAGAAUAGUUACUGUUUAAUGAGUGUAGAGUUUCAGUUUCCCAAAAUGAAAAGAAUUGUAGUUGGAUGGUGUUGAUGGCUCCACAGCAAUGUGAAUGUUCUUAAUGCCACUGGACUGGAUACUGUAAAAUCGUUAAGAUGGUAAAUUUUGUAUUAUGUCUAUCUUACCACAAUUUUAAAAAGGAAAUGCUUAGUACUUGAUUUAGGUGGCAAAACCACUCUACACUCUGUCUUUACUUUCUAUUUAAAUCUCAGUGAAUUAAAGAUUGUUUACUGCAUAUGUUUAACUCUGUAUGUGCCUUCUCAUUUCCCUUUUAUUCUUGUUUCUCGCCCUUCAAAGAAAGGUAAAGUAAUUUUCUCAUGAUCACAGUUCAAUUACUUAAAAAUAUCUUGGGAAAUGACAAUAACUAACAGCUUCUUUGGAAAUAAUUAAAAAUGCACAUGCAUAGGUGUAAUUAUUUAAUUUAUCUGUGUAACACCCUACUUAAAGGAAUGUGCCUGUUGCAACUGUAACACGCAUUGCAAGCACCAGCGUGAGGAGCCGUGGCUGACCAACUCUUGCAUGAAAAGAGAAGAAUUUUUAUCCGUUCGGUGGGUGCAGGCACAAUAAAUGCCUUGCUUGGUUGCCGAUUAGAAGAUAGAGUUAUUAGCCAGGAAGAUACGAACAAAGUGAGAGAUGAAAAUGACACUGUCAUGGAUAAAGCUCGAGCCUUGAUUGACCUUGUUAUUGGAAUAGGACCAGAGUCUUGCUGCAAAUUUAUCAAGCAUCUCUGUGAAGAAGACCCUCCACUUGCCUCAAAGAUGUGUGUGCCCAAAGAGUGAAGAUGGAAACUCUGGUGAACUACUGCCACUUCCUGAAGCUUUUCCAGAGAAAAUAUAUUAUUGUAAGAGAUAAAAAAGCAAAAAAACACAAAUGUGUUUCUCACAAAGCCAAUUAAUGACAUCAGUUUCGAUUAAAUCUCUCAUUCACACGACUUGCUUCUUGCUAUUUCUCUUCCCAUACCAACGAAGGAUAAUUCCUCAAUAAUAAAGAAGGUCAUGAUGAUUAUAAUGUAACUGAGAAAGUCCCUCCCUUUCCUUUUCUUUUUGUUCAGUUUCUUUGCAAUCCUGUAGAGACUUGUACAGCCCACUUUGGUGCUUUUGGCACUGGGAGUCUGCUGUGAUGGGAAACAAAUGAAGGCCCCACUCAGAGUUUUAAAUAACAUUGCUUCUUCAUAAUGUUCUCAUCCAGUUUUUUAAGGCCGUGGUCUGUGAAAAUUACUCAACAUAAUAAACAAAACUUCCUUUCUGGGAAAAUAAUAGAGAAAGUCCAUGGACAAAUAAUCCAUUGCCAUAAGUCAGGCUUUCACAAAAAUGUUUUCAUGAAAGUACUGAUAGCUUUAUGUGCCACAUGGGCAGGGUACAACAAGAUAUGACUUAAAGUCGAGGAAUGGAGAUUUGUGGAGUCAAGACAGCGUGAUGACAUGCCAUCGCUCUCCACCCUUCAGAGCAAAACACUGGCUAUUAAUUAGGCUUAGGCUGUCUUUUCCCUGUGUACAUGGUGUUAAAUAACGAAGCAUUAUCUUCUAGAUGCCUCAGGAGGUCUUCUAAUUUCUUAGCACAUGCCAAUUCCUAAAAUUUCUGGCAUAAGUGGUAGCAAAGGAUUUGGUUCCAGGAACAAAGGCCAAAAAAUUUCCUGAACUUUUUUAUGUUUGUGCACUUUUUCCAAGCUCUUUAGAAAACUAAAAUAAAACAAUGUGGUUCCUUUAAUUUUGAAUUCGUCAGUCAUAAAUUAUGGCAAAAACAAUCAUUGUAGGUUGACAUCAAAUACAGUAAAUGAGAAUGUUUGGUAUUUUCCUCCAAAGAGGAGGUAUAUUCCACUGAUAGGAAGUGUUUCUUAGAGACAAGUAAUUGCCGUUAGGGUUCUCCUCAUUGAUAAUCUGAUAGUUUAUCUGAGAAGAUACAUUUUGAGGGUGAUUCUGUUUGGCUGUGUGUCCGCAGCCAAACUUCACCUUGUAGAUGGGGUUUUACCCUGCCAGCCAGGAUGGUCUCAAUCUCCUGACCUCGUGAUCUGCCCAACCCAGCCUCCCAAAGUGCCUGGAUUACAGGUGUGAGCCACCGUGCCUGGCCCCAUAGUAAAUUUAAUUAGAAAAAAAUGAGAUCCAGAUAUUUAAGCUAGAAAUUAAGUAUUAUUUUUCCUAUUCCAGUGUUCUUCCCAAUGAAAGUUCUACUUUCCCAUUGUAACACUUAAAAGUAAGUUAAUUUUUCAGAAUAGGCAGGCUGAAAAAUCUAAGAAUGAAAAUUGAGGUGCGUAGGUCAUAGAAUGUUAUUGGCGAUUUAAGUCAUACAUGCUAGAAGAUAAGGUCACAAUAAAGUGGAGCUAUAUAAAUUUUAGGAUCUUUGAGGAAUGGAGUUUUCUUCUUUCAAUGGAUAGAAAUUGAAGUUUAAGACCUGAUAUGAAGAAAUUGGAAUCUAAUUAGGAGAACAAAAAGCCUCCUCUAACUAAAGAUAGAGCAACUCUAAUGUGCUUUUCCAUAAAGAAUCAUAGAAUAAAAAUUUCUCACAUAAAGGUUUGAAAAGGUAACUGAUAAUCACACACAAAAAAAUCAUUUAUUGACCCUUCAGAGAACAUUCUGAUUUGAGAUAGGGAAUUGUGCUUUGAACCUAUCAGAAUAUCAAAGUUCAGGUCAUGGCAAAGAGACCUGAAUCCAGCUUAAAAAUGGAUUAUGAGGUCAAGAUCUACAGCAGUGGAUGUCUCAGUGGUCAGAUAAAUGAAAAGGUUUUAAAGGUCAGGUCUUAGGAACAAAAGCUUGGAAUUUAAGCUUCAAGAGAAUCAUUUUGAGAAGAUGAGUUGUUGGUGAAGAUUGAGAGCAGACAACUUCGGGGUCCAAAUCUCCAAAGAGUUUCCUCUGAAAGAUAUUUUAGAGUCCCUAUUUGGUGAUCAUCGAAGGGAUUACAUGAAGUAAUAAAUGUCAAAAUGUCUUGGGUUUAGAUAGUUUAUUUCAAGGUAAAGCUUCAACUGUGACCAAGGUAAAGGUCACUAUAAAGAGAUGGUGUGACUUGGAUGAUCCUCAGAAUAUCUAAUGGCUAGAUAUCCUUUGGAAUUAACAAAGCUCUUCUUUCCUUAUAAUUCCACCAAAAUUCUCAACUCAAGUUAUCUUCACCUUGGUUCAUGGUGCAAUAUUUAUUUUUCUAUGAAAGAAUUCGAACCUGAAACACUCAUUUUAUUUUCAGGUACAAGGAUAAUAUGAAGAACUAGGUAUAAAUGCUCAGAUGCCCAAAAUUGAAAUAGUAUUCGUGACAGGAUAUUUUUAUUAUUUCACAGGCAAUUAAACAUGGUAUCAUUAGCUCUUUUGGCAACUUACAUAAAUGACCAGAAUGAAAGAUACCAUUUGUGAUAAAGUGAAUCCUAAUGCACCAUCAGUGAUAUGGUGAUGAUGACAUUUAUCUGCUGCUUUUUUUUCUUGUGUCCUCCUGACAUUAGACAAA